CAGAAACAAUUGAUCUUGAUGGAACAAUCUUGUUUUUAUAUAAAAUUUCAAGCUGGUGAUGACAUGUGUAAAAGGAAAAGUGCUGCAAGCAGUAAAUGCUGUUCAGUUUGCAGUCCAUUACAUCAACAUAUCUAAAUGAUCCUCUUUAGCCCAGUACUUCAAUAGGAUGUUGGAAAAGAAGACUUCCACUCUAAUAGGAUGAAAAAAUGAUCAUUUAUUUACAUCAUUCUGAUUUCUUUUAAUUGCUUCACAAUCCACUAUAAAGAAGAUUCGCUCUGACCCUAAAUUUUCUACUUUUUUUCCCACUUUUCUCUCACAUAAAUUAGGUGUUUCAUUCUUUUUCCUCCUUAUUAUUUUAUUUACACCAUUCUGUGUUGAGCACAGAAAGGUGGAAGUAUAUAGCCCUGUUCUCUGUUUUUAAUGCUCUGUAUAUUUUUGUUUCCUUUUCUGUGGAAUCAGUUUUUCAUUAUCCUUAUAGAAUCAGUUUUUCAUUAUCCUUAUAAGGAGAUGCCAUUUUUCUCAAUCUUUCCUUAAAAUCUAACUAACUUCUUUACUAAGUCAUUUCUGUUCCUUAUAGAAUAGUGAAUGUGACUGUUCUUAGUGUAUUGACUGGUCCCUUUACAUCAGCAUUGUAACUUUUAGGUAUUAGUUUACUUUCAUAUGAUUGUUAUUUCAUAUAUCAUUGUGAACAUAUUUUUUUCCAAAAAUAAAAUACAUAUUGACCUAAAAGAAAUUGCAUCUAAAAGAA
rnacentral:lncRNA from 1 species